UACGUAGGGUGCGAGCGUUGUCCGGAAUUAUUGGGCGUAAAGAGCUCGUAGGCGGUGUGUCACGUCGGCCGUGAAAACCUGCAGCUUAACUGUGGGUGUGCGGUCGAUACGGGCAUCACUGGAGUUCGGCAGGGGAGACUGGAAUUCCUGGUGUAGCGGUGAAAUGCGCAGAUAUCAGGAGGAACACCGGUGGCGAAGGCGGGUCUCUGGGCCGAUACUGACGCUGAGGAGCGAAAGCGUGGGGAGCGAACAGG
rnacentral:rRNA from 1 species